GCAUUCGUGGUCAAGUGGUUAGGGUUCUCCUCACCACCAGGCAACGUCCUCGGAUCGCAUCCGAGGGAAUGCA